UUUAUUAAAAUUACACAUGAUGUCACUCAAUGAAACAGUAAUGUUAUUGAUCAUGUUGGACCUUUAGAACAUGUUUUCAGUUGGAGGAUUACAGGAAGUGAUCGGAGCAACAGGUGAGUAAUGUCCAGAACUUUUCCUCCCGUGUUAAAGACAUGUUGAAGACAUGUUGAAGAUCUGUUGGAGAUGUGUUGGAGACGUGCUGCAGAUGUGGAGACAGUUGAAGACGUGUUGGAGACGUGCUGGAGAAGUGUUGAAGAUGUGUUGGAGACGUGUUGGAGACGUGUUGAAGCUGUGUUGGAGACGUGUUGAAGACAUGUUGGUGACAUGUUGAAGAUGUGUUGAAGACGUGUUGGAGACGUAUCGCAGAUGUGGAGACGUGUUGAAGACGUGCUGGAGACGUGUUGCAGAUGUGGAGACAUGUUAAAGACAUGUUUAAGACGUGUUGGAAACGUGUUGCAGAUGUGAAGACAUGUUGAAGACGUGUUGGAGACCUGUUGG